rnacentral:rRNA from 1 species
UUGAUUAUGACGUACUUGUACUGAUUGAGAUUUUAACACGAAGUGAGUGGCGAACGGGUGAGUAACACGUGGGUAACCUGCCCAGAAGUAGGGGAUAACACCUGGAAACAGAUGCUAAUACCGUAUAACAGAGAAAACCGCAUGGUUUUCUUUUAAAAGAUGGCUCUGCUAUCACUUCUGGAUGGACCCGCGGCGUAUUAGCUAGUUGGUGAGGUAAAGGCUCACCAAGGCAGUGAUACGUAGCCGACCUGAGAGGGUAAUCGGCCACAUUGGGACUGAGACACGGCCCAGACUCCUACGGGAGGCAGCAGUAGGGAAUCUUCCACAAUGGACGCAAGUCUGAUGGAGCAACGCCGCGUGAGUGAAGAAGGGUUUCGGCUCGUAAAGCUCUGUUGUUAAAGAAGAACGUGGGUAAGAGUAACUGUUUACCCAGUGACGGUAUUUAACCAGAAAGCCACGGCUAACUACGUGCCAGCAGCCGCGGUAAUACGUAGGUGGCAAGCGUUAUC